CUAUUCAGUAUUCUCUUGUGAUCGUAACCGCUGUUACAAUCGUCUUCUCACUCACUGCUUCCUUCGCUCAUCACUUCUCCGAUUCCAGGAAAUCACUCAAUUAAUCUUUGACAUAUAUGAAACAAGGUGAUUAAAAUCGGACCGGAACGGCCGGUUCGACCAGUUGAACCGGGAACCGGACCUCUGUCCGGUCUAGAAGACACUAGAAACCGCUGUGCUGUAGAACCGGGAUUUGAACCGGAAAACCAGAUGAAACCCGCAUUUUCGGUUUUCUGACCAUAGCAAAUAGGCAUCGAUCUAUAAUUUCAAUGGAAGCAUCGAUCUAAGAAGAGAUGAAGAUACAUAAAUGAAAUCAUGGAACAGACACAAAGGUGGGUAAGAAAGCAUGAGGAUAGAGAGAGACUGGAGAUUACGGAUGCUGCUUAAUUGUUCUCCUUGUUUAAACUAAGUUUUAGGGUUUAUUUUACAUUUGGGCCAAAAACAAGUGGGCUUGGAUCAGAAAUUUUAAAUCAAACAAAAACUACCAAAUCAAAUUAUGAUAUAUUUUUUUGUUUUUUACUAUUAUUAAAAAAAUAUAAUUAACAAAGGUCCGACCUCGGUUGAACCUCGGUCCGACCUUUUAACCUCGAACCCAUGAGCAUGCCGGUUCAAUAACCGGUCCGGUUCUGAUUACCUUGAUAUGAAACUAGCUACCAUUAAAAAAACAUACCAUGCAUGCAUGUUUUACUUUGAGAAUCUCAACUUUAAAUAUGGAAUAUUGGAAUGCUAUAACACACCCACUCCCAUUCGUCUUCUAUUAGUGACAUGCACUUUAGGGUGUAUUUAAUUUAACCACUCUUUAGAAAAUAAGUGGUGUAUUCUAGUUAGCAACAUGCGCCACAAGGUGUAUUAGACUCACUAUAAGGACCACAAAAGAGAGAGAGAGAGAGAGAGAGAGAGAGAGAGAGAGAGAGAGAGAGAAACGCCAUAUCUUGACUCAAAACCUUAAGUAUAUAUGCAUGGUUCACCUGUCUUAUAUAUUCAACAUUUUUCUCAUGACUUAACCACCCACGCUUGAAACCCUACAAUAAUUUGCUAUAAUACUCUUUCUGAAUAGUAAAGGAAUGGAUAUGGAGUGAAUGUUAUAGGAUCGAAAAGGAAACGAAAAAACGUAUGUCUUCCCUCCCCUCAAGAUUGCAUCAAUUUGGGGGAAGAAAAAGUGAUAUAGGAAGGAUUUUACUCUCAUCUCCUACUAAAAGUUGAAUCAAACAAAUAUAAUUUAAAAUAUCCCCUCCCCUCCGUCUAUACCCCCAACCAAAAAGACCACCCUAAAGAACAUAUGUCGUACUUUGAGAAAUUCAACUUUAAUUUGAGUAUAAUUUUUACAGGCAGUCUUUUUCCUAGUUCAUCAGUAAGUAAGAAGAAACCUAACCUAAGUGUAAGUGUACUGUCUCUGUCGGCGCUCUCUCUUUGUUCCUCCUGAUCUGAACCAAUGUCUCUGAAAUCUGCUCUGUCGAUACUCCGCGAUCAGAAGGAUAGGUUGAUGAUUGCAGCACAGUAUAGGUUGAUUAUUCCUUGUAGAUUUGCAGCAGCACAUGUAUACUAUAGAUUUCGUCGUCAUCAUCGGACUUCUUCUCCUAUUGAAAUUGAUUGGAGCCAGGAACAUCCAAAAAAGGACUUUAUGACAAAACCUUAUAGUGAAUGGACCGACAAAGAUAAAACUGAGUGUUUUAUGGCAAGAUAUAAACGCUUUGGCACAGGAGGACUUUGAAUCGUCCAAAUCAUCUUCACCAUCUGUUUGGGAGUUUAACUGUUUGUUUCUUUCUUUCAAUUUAAUUGCUAUUUGGAUGUUUUUCAUAUGAAUAAUUUUGACUUAUGUUUGCUCGGUUUA